rnacentral:rRNA from 1 species
AGCGAACGCUGGCGGCAGGCUUAACACAUGCAAGUCGAGCGGGCAUCUUCGGAUGUCAGCGGCAGACGGGUGAGUAACACGUGGGAACGUAACCUUCGGUUCGGAACAACUCUGGGAAACUGGAGCUAAUACCGGAUACGCCCUUAUGGGGAAAGGUUUACUGCCGAAGGAUCGGCCCGCGUCUGAUUCGCUAGUUGGUGGGGUAACGGCCUACCAAGGCGACGAUCAGUAGCUGGUCUGAGAGGAUGAUCAGCCACACUGGGACUGCGACACGGCCCAGACUCCUACGGGAGGCAGCAGUGGGGAAUAUUGGACAAUGGGCGCAAGCCUGAUCCAGCCAUGCCGCGUGAGUGAUGAAGGCCUUAGGGUUGUAAAGCUCUUUUGUCCGGGACGAUAAUGACGGUACCGGAAGAAUAAGCCCCGGCUAACUUCGUG